CCGGACCGGCGCACGGGUGAGUAACGCGUAUGCAACUUACCUAUCAGAGGGGGAUAACCCGGCGAAAGUCGGACUAAUACCGCAUGAAGCAGGGGCCCCGCAUGGGGAUAUUUGCUAAAGAUUCAUCGCUGAUAGAUAGGCAUGCGUUCCAUUAGGCAGUUGGCGGGGUAACGGCCCACCAAACCGACGAUGGAUAGGGGUUCUGAGAGGAAGGUCCCCCACAUUGGUACUGAGACACGGACCAAACUCCUACGGGAGGCAGCAG
rnacentral:rRNA from 1 species